GUCAACCUGGACUGUAUAAGAAAACAGGCUGAGCAAGAAGAGGAGACAAACAAGUACUCUCAGAGGUUAGAAGACAACGUUGAAUGCCCUGAAGGUAGACUUAUAGGCACUUCUGAUGGAUCUGCCUGCUAUGACUGCUGAAAACUCUGGCCCUCUAAGAGCAGCAAGCACCCUUCACUAUGGAGGCAUGAAGUGGAAGUUACUGGUUGUGUCAUGUGACACAGUCUCACAUGAUGUUUUGCUGAUGUAAGACCAGUGAGAGGACAUGUGAUGUUUGGAGAGAGUAUAAAUAGGACCCAACAGAUAGUGACUUCAUGCUUGCAUUCCUUGCCAUAUUUUAUUGGUCAUUUUUCUUCCCUGAUCUU
rnacentral:lncRNA from 1 species